rnacentral:rRNA from 1 species
GACGAACGCUGGCGGCGUGCCUAAUACAUGCAAGUUGAGCGCUGAAGGUUGGUACUUGUACCAACUGGAUGAGCAGCGCACGGGUGAGUAACGCGUGGGGAAUCUGCCUUUGAGCGGGGGACAACCUUUGGAAACGAAUGCUAAUACCGCAUAAAAACUUUAAACACAAGUUUUAAGUUUGAAAGAUGCAAUUGCAUCACUCAAAGAUGAUCCCGCGUUGUAUUAGCUAGUUGGUGAGGUAAAGGCGCACCAAGGCGAUGAUACAUAGCCGACCUGAGAGGGUGAGCAGCCACACUGGGACUGAGACACGGCACAAACUCCUACAGGAGGCAGCAGUAGGGAAUCUUCGGCAAGGGACGAAAGACUGAGCGAGCAACGCCGCGGGAGUGAAGAAGGUUUUCGGAUCGUAAAACUCUGUUGGUAGAGAAGAACGUUGGUGAGAGUGGAAAGCUCAUCGAGUGACGGUAACUACUCAGAAAGGGACGGCUAACUACGUG